CCUCCCUUAGCGCAGCGCGGAUCUCCAAAGCCGGCCUGCCUCUGCUGCAGUGUGUACCGUGAUGGCUCCCCCCUGGCGUCCAGAUCUUCUCCGGUCAUGUCAUUACAACUUGAACUGCCUCUUAACUCUGAAUUAGGAGAUAUUCGGGCUAGUUUUCACUCCAGUCUCCUGACCCCCAAACGGGAGGGUUGAAGAAAAAGGACCCAAAAAGUCAGGGACAGUUACCAGUUCAUUUACAUGCAAAAGACAUCUGGAACAGAGAGACAAUGAAGAAUUAACACACAUCUAAGGAAACUUCUGUACUAUGUUGACUAGUGGCUUCUACAGCCACCCUCCCCUACAAAUUCCACCUGGAACCUCAGAAUGUGACCUUAUUUGGAAAUAGGGUCUUUGCUAAUAUAGUCAAGUUAAAGUGAGUUUAUGCCAGACUACAGUUAAACCUAAUCCAGUGACUAGGAUCCUUACAAGAAAAAGAAACUUUGGACACAAAGACAUAGACUCAUACAGAAGGAAGAUGGCCAUGUGAAGGAGGAAGAGGUUGGAGUCAUGCUGCCAAAAGCCAAGAAACACCAGGGAUUCCUGGCAACCACCAGAAGCUGGGAGAGAAACAUGGGAUAGCUUCUCCUUCAGAAUCUCCAGAAGGAACCAACCAUGUCGACAUUUUGAUUUUGGGCUUCUGGCCUCCUGAACUGUGAGAGAAUAAAUUUCUGUUGUUUUAA